UAGAAAUUUCAUGAGAAUUGGAUAAUGGAUACUUCAGUUUUGGAGUGGAUCUUAUCAGCUAUAGUGCAGCAGUUUUCAGCAUGUAGCAGUGGUGGAAGAAUUGAAAUCUGGUAGCAAUCUAGAAGUCAAAUGAAGCUCAAAUUUUUACAGCUGCUAGAUGACUUAGUGAACCACAUCUCCACUAAAUUUCGUGAUAUUUGGAUCUGUACAUUGUGAGAUAUGGAUAUUUCUUUAAAAGGUACAGAAUCUGUCAGAAAAGUGACAAAUAUUGGAUUGAUCUAGAGUCACUUAAAUUGAAAGGUCC
rnacentral:lncRNA from 1 species